UUCCACUAAGAUAUCACUCUGGCAUGCACAUUCCAACCAUCUGCUGCUUCCUCCUUUGAGGUCAAGCAAAUUUCUAUCCUUCUGUUUGUUUCAGGCACAUCAUUUUGAGGACUGGCUAUACUACUUAGGUCAAUGUGUUAUUACCUGACUAUAUCUGUUUCUGAAACAUUUUUGAGUAUUCACCAGUCGAAUGGUGAAUAUUGCUGAACUUAUUUCCUUAUAUUGAAAGCUAAGAUGAUCCUGAAAAAAUAUUAACAGCGAUUAGCUUGAAAUAUGCUCCUAAUUAAUCUUGCUGUAUUGUAUAUUUUUGUUGCAUUUCACAGAUCCAUUCGUGAAGCCAAGAAACACAACAAAAUGGGACUUCCCAUGCAGAUAUUCACUGAGGACAUUGCAGGCUGUGACACUAACAUUGAAGAUUACCAACUGUGGUUCUGUCCUGGCCCUGGGAAAGCUCCAAGAGUACUCCAAGAUAUGAAGGAAAAAACUUUUAAGAAACAAAGAACUUCUAUGACGUCGCAGUUGGACAGGGGCUCUGUGCCCCACCAGGACCAAGUAUGCACCACCCCACCAGUUAAAAAGGGAAGAAAACUGUUUGGAAGAGAACUCAGUUCCAUUUGUCAGGAUGGCAUCCUGCCCGCAGCAAUUCUGGUAUGUCUCAAAUGGUGUUUCUCUGCCUCUCCUAAGACAAAAUCCUGCUUCUUAAAUACCUGACCCCUUCACUUCUAUCACCAUGUGGAGCAAGAAUUGUUUCUCAAAUCAUUGGCUUUCCAGUAGGACAAUGAGAGAGGGCUAUUCAGAAACCAUCUAUUGGAAAAGUUGGAUUUAAUCCCUUAACUAUUUUGGAAAAUCUGAUAUGAAGAAAUGUUGCCUGAUCUUUAAGGGAUAAUAUUAGGGUGGGAUGUGUAGAACAAAAGAUUGAGGCACAAAACCAGCUUGAGGUCGUCUGUGUCCAUGCCAGCACGUGCACUGCACCUGUGCACACCAUUGGUCUGGUUCUCAAGGA
rnacentral:lncRNA from 14 species